AGCGAACGCUGGCGGCAGGCUUAACACAUGCAAGUCGAACGCAUCCUUCGGGGUGAGUGGCAGACGGGUGAGUAACACGUGGGAACGUACCCUUCGAUCUGGGAUAACUUCGGGAAACUGGAGCUAAUACCGGAUACGCCCUGUUGGGGAAAGGUUUACUGUCGAAGGAUCGGCCCGCGUCGAACUAGCUAGUUGGUGGGGUAACGGCCUACCAAGGCGACGAUCAGUAGCUGGUCUGAGAGGAUGAUCAGCCACACUGGGACUGAGAAAAGGCCCAGACUCAGAGGGGAGGCAGAAGUGGGGAAUAUUGGAGAAGGGGCGAAAGCGGGAUGCAGGAAUACCGCGGGGGUGAAGAAGGACUUCGGGUGGGAAAGCAAGGUUGGUGGGAAAGAAAAGCAGCAGGUUAAUACCGCGCUGUUCUGACGGUACCCAAAGAAUAAGCACCGGCUAACUUCGUG
rnacentral:rRNA from 1 species